AUUGAACGCUGGCGGCAUGCUUUACACAUGCCAGUCGAACGGCAGCGCGGGCUUCGGCCUGGCGGCGAGUGGCGAACGGGUGAGUAAUGCAUCGGAACGCGCCCAGUAGUGGGGGAUAGCCCGGCGAAAGCCGGAUUAAUACCGCAUACGACCUGAGGGUGAAAGCGGGGGACCGAAAGGCCUCGCGCUAUUGGAGCGGCCGAUGUCGGAUUAGCUAGUUGGUGGGGUAAAGGCUUACCAAGGCGACGAUCCGUAGCUGGUCUGAGAGGACGACCAGCCACACUGGGACUGAGACACGGCCCAGACUCCUACGGGAGGCAGCAGUGGGGAAUUUUGGACAAUGGGGGCAACCCUGAUCCAGCCAUGCCGCGUGCGGGAAGAAGGCCUUCGGGUUGUAAACCGCUUUUGUUCGGGAAGAAAUCCUCUGGGCUAAUACCCCGGGGGGAUGACGGUACCGGAAGAAUAAGCACCGGCUAACUACGUG
rnacentral:rRNA from 1 species